rnacentral:rRNA from 1 species
GAUGAACGCUGGCUACAGGCUUAACACAUGCAAGUCGAGGGGAAACGACGGGGAAGCUUGCUUCCCCGGGCGUCGACCGGCGCACGGGUGAGUAACGCGUAUCCAACCUGCCUCUGACUGAGGGAUAACCCGUCGAAAGUCGGCCUAAUACCUCAUGGCAUCGUCUGCGAGCAUCCAACGACGAUUAAAGAUUUCAUCGGUCAGGGAUGGGGAUGCGUCUGAUUAGCUUGUUGGCGGGGUAACGGCCCACCAAGGCUACGAUCAGUAGGGGUUCUGAGAGGAAGGUCCCCCACAUUGGAACUGAGACACGGUCCAAACUCCUACGGGAGGCAGCAGUGAGGAAUAUUGGUCAAUGGGCGAGAGCCUGAACCAGCCAAGUAGCGUGCAGGAAGACGGCCCUAUGGGUUGUAAACUGCUUUUAUGCGGGGAUAAAGUGAGGGACGUGUCCUUCAUUGCAGGUACCGCAUGAAUAAGGACCGGCUAAUUCCGUGCCAGCAGCCGCGGUAAUACGGAAGGUCCGGGCGUUAUCCGGAUUUAUUGGGUUUAAAGGGAGCGUAGGCCGUGGAUUAAGCGUGUUGUGAAAUGCAGGUGCUCAACGUCUGCACUGCAGCGCGAACUGGUCCACUAGAGUGUGCGCAACGCAGGCGGAAUUCGUCGUGUAGCGGUGAAAUGCUUAGAUAUGACGAAGAACUCCGAUUGCGAAGGCAGCUUGCGGGAGCACAACUGACGCUGAAGCUCGAAAGUGCGGGUAUCGAACAGG